rnacentral:tRNA from 1 species
GGGGAGAGAGCUCAGUGGUAGAGUGCAUGCUUAGCAUGCAUGAGGUCCUGGGUUCAAGCCCCAGCACCUCCA